CAGCACCUCAAGUGGUCAGGAUGAUUAUUGGGCCUAAAGCAUCCGUAGCCGGCUCUGUAAGUUUUCGGUUAAAUCUGUACGCUCAACGUACAGGCUGCCGGGAAUACUGCAGAGCUAGGGAGUGGGAGAGGUAGACGGUACUCGGUAGGAAGGGGUAAAAUCCUUUGAUCUAUUGAUGACCACCUGUGGCGAAGGCGGUCUACCAGAACACGUCCGACGGUGAGGGAUGAAAGUUGGGGGAGCAAACCGGAUUAGAUACCCGAGUAGUCC
rnacentral:rRNA from 1 species